rnacentral:rRNA from 1 species
AGUAGGUCCCAAGGGUAUGGCUGUUCGCCAUUUAAAGUGGUACGCGAGCUGGGUUUAGAACGUCGUGAGACAGUUCGGUCCCUAUCUGCCGUGGGCGCUGGAGAACUGAGGGGGGCUGCUCCUAGUACGAGAGGACCGGAGUGGACGCAUCACUGGUGUUCGGGUUGUCAUGCCAAUGGCACUGCCCGGUAGCUAAAUGCGGAAGAGAUAAGUGCUGAAAGCAUCUAAGCACGAAACUUGCCCCGAGAUGAGUUCUCCCUGAGACUUUAGGUCUCCUGAAGGAACGUUGAAGACGACGACGUUGAUAGGCCGGGUGUGUAAGCGCAGCGAUGCGUUGAGCUAACCGGUACUAAUGAACCGUGAGGCUUAACCUU